GAUGAACGCUAGCGGCGGGCUUAAUACAUGCAAGUCAAGGGGUAGCAAUACACCGGCGUACGGGUGCGUAACGCGUAUGGAACCUGCCCUUAUCUGGGGGAUAACUCGGGGAAACUCGAGCUAAUACCGCAUAAGAUAGUAGAAUGGCAUCAUUCAGCUAUUAAAAAUUUAUCGGAUAAGGAUGGGCAUGCGUAAGAUUAGAUAGUGGGUGGGGUAACGGCUCACCAAGUCUACGAUCUUUAGGGGCUCUGAGAGGAGAAUCCCCCCCACUGGCACUGAGAUACGGGCCAGACUCCUACGGGAGGCAGCAGUAGGGAAUAUUGGGCAAUGGGCGGAAGCCUGACCCAGCCACGCCGCGUGCAGGAAGAAGGCCCUCUGGGUUGUAAACUGCUUUUGAUUGGGAAGAAAGCAUCUCAUGCGUGGGAUUUUGACGGUACCAAUCGAAUAAGCCACGGCUAACUACGUGCCAGCAGCCGCCGUAACAC
rnacentral:rRNA from 1 species